UGCCAACACCCAUUGCUCCAGCAAGCACGAUGGGAACCCAUGGGCAACUCCCCUUCUCCCAUCAUCCCCCUUUAGACAGUCACUUCUCAGAAGUUUCCAGAAAGUUCUAAAAACUGGAGGCAGCAUCAUCAUUAUAAGGGAAAGAGAUGAAUGAAUGUGAAAGCAGCCUGAAGACGUGCCUGUUCUUCUCAGACCAUCUCAGUUUCGGGGCUUGAAAGAUGCUGCUGUGCCUUGUUACCUGGGA
rnacentral:lncRNA from 1 species